rnacentral:rRNA from 1 species
AUUGAACGCUGGCGGCAUGCCUUACACAUGCAAGUCGAACGGCAGCACGGGAGCAAUCCUGGUGGCGAGUGGCGAACGGGUGAGUAAUGUAUCGGAACGUGCCCAGUUGUGGGGGAUAACUGCUCGAAAGAGCAGCUAAUACCGCAUACGACCUGAGGGUGAAAGCGGGGGAUCGCAAGACCUCGCGCAAUUGGAGCGGCCGAUAUCAGAGUAGGUAGUUGGUGGGGUAAAGGCCCCCCAAGCCAACGAUCUGUAGCUGGUCUGACCGGACGCCCAGCCACACUGGGACUGAGACACGGCACAGACUCCUACGGGAGGCAGCAGUGGGGAAUUUUGGACAAUGGACGCAAGUCUGAUCCAGCCAUGCCGCGUGCGGGAAGAAGGCCUUCGGGUUGUAAACCGCUUUUGUCAGGGAAGAAACGGCUUUCUCUAAUACAGAGGGCUAAUGACGGUACCUGAAGAAUAAGCACCGGCUAACUACGUGCCAGCAGCCGCCGUAACAC